CCAAGGUGGAUUGUUGCUGGCUCUUAGGAGCAUGUGCACAUCUGCCAUUGUUUCAUUCUUUCUCCACCUGUGCACCUUUUGUAGGCUUGGAUAACUCUCAAGGACUGAAUUACAUUCAUACAUUCAUUUCUUGGAUUUAGGGAUUGGUUUCAAGAAAACCUCUCCUUUGCAUUUCCAGUCUAUGUUUAUUAUAUCUACACCCCAUUAGUAUGUGUUAGAAUGUUUAUUAUUUGGCCUUUCUUUUUGAUAGGCUUUAAAAUGGUUAUACAACUUUCAACAACGGAUCUCUUGGCUCUCGCAUCGAUGAAGAACGCAGCGAAAUGCGAUAAGUAAUGUGAAUUGCAGAAUUCAGUGAAUCAUCGAAUCUUUGAACGCACCUUGCGCUCCUUGGUAUUCCGAGGAGCAUGCCUGUUUGAGUGUCAUUAAAUUCUCAAUCCUUUCUGGGUUUAUUCUCAGCUAGGCUUGGAUAUGGGGGUUUUGCUGGCUUUGUACAGACAAAGUCAGCUCUCCUGAAAAACAUUAGCAAGACUGUUGUUGCAACCUUCUAUCUGGUGUGAUAAUUAUCUACAUCAUAGAUUGUAUGCAGUUUAUUAUGUCUGGCUUCUAACAGUCCAUUGAAUUGGACAAAACCUAUGACAAUUUGACCUCAAAUCAGGUAGGACUACCCGCUGAACUUAAGCAUAUCAAUAAGCGGAGGAAAAGAAACUAACAAGGAUUCCCCUAGUAACUGCGAGUGAAGCGGGAAAAGCUCAAAUUUAAAAUCUGGCAGUCUC
rnacentral:rRNA from 1 species